UCUUUUCCAACUCUAAUAGUCUAUGAUUCUAUGAUAAAGAAAUGUUGCAUAUUCAUUAGACAGAUUGCGUGUUCAGGAGUUGAAAAGGUCACCUAAACCAAUCCUAAAAUCAUGGAGUCAAUAAGAGUGACAGCAACCAACCAGAAUCUAAAACAAGCAUAAAAGAGGUUUGUUUUCCUAUAAUUUCAGAAAAAUAAGAAGGUAUAAAAGACUCUGAAAUAAACACCUCAUGCUCAGACACUCCCAGUAAUCAUGGAGAAAGCACGCCCUAACUCAUCCUGUCCAUCUCUACAAGCAAGCUGCCACAGACAGAUCAGAAAAGACUCAAGAAGAAACAACCCAAAGUAACCUCUCCACGACUUCAACAUGGAUCGGUUUCCAGGUCAAGAUAGGGGUGCACAUCUUGGGGGGCUGUAUGUCAUUCAAAGCUGGUAGAGCAUCUGCACGCAAUGGAACUGCUUUAACAGAAGGCUCAAGCCCACGCUUCUGAGGUCAGAAUGGAGCCCUAACUCUCUACCCCAAAGUUGGAUGCCGAAGAAAGAUGGAAACAUUCAGGUUUACUCUUGGUCUGACGCUUUCAUGGGGCCCUUGUUUUCUCAUUAACCUGGAAACAAUUGAACUUUGGAACUCAAACACCAGC